rnacentral:rRNA from 1 species
CCGGGGGGCUGCAGUGGGGAAUAUUGGACAAUGGGGGGAACCCUGAUCCAGCCAUGCCGCGUGUGUGAAGAAGGCCCUCGGGUUGUAAAGCACUUUCAGUGAGGAAGAACGCCUGGUGGUUAAUACCCAUCAGGAAAGACAUCACUCACAGAAGAAGCACCGGCUAACUCCGUGCCAGCAGCCGCGGUAAUACGGAGGGUGCGAGCGUUAAUCGGAAUUACUGGGCGUAAAGCGCGCGUAGGUGGCUUGAUAAGCCGGUUGUGAAAGCCCCGGGCUCAACCUGGGAACGGCAUCCGGAACUGUCAAGCUAGAGUGCAGGAGAGGAAGGUAGAAUUCCCGGUGUAGCGGUGAAAUGCGUAGAGAUCGGGAGGAAUACCAGUGGCGAAGGCGGCCUUCUGGACUGACACUGACACUGAGGUGCGAAAGCGUGGGUAGCAAACAGGAUUAGAUACCCGGGUAGUC